CACACACACAUAUAUUUACAUAUACACAUGUACGUGUAAUACACACAUAAACACAUAUUUACAUUCACACUUGCAUGUAUGUAAUCUGAAAUAUACUCUCAUUGAUAUUUUCUAGACGUUUAUUUGUCAAAGGAAGAUAAAUAUUGAUGGGAAAACACUUGAAAGGAGCUGUCGUCAGACACAUAAUUUAAUUAUAUCCAGAGGUUAAAUCUUUGACACUUGAUUCUUAUUUAUAACUUGGGCAUUUACUAGCAAAAUCACAAAUUUGGAUAUCUUACAAAUAAAUGUCCAUGGGCUCCUGACCAAGCGUGGCCUGACUCUAUAUUUUACCAAAGUUGUGAAUAAAUGAGAAUUUUCCAGAGCGAAUUGCAUCAAGUAGCUUAAAAGAGCAAAGAGCUACUCAUUUAAUUGUUUUAAUGUUAUCCCCCCUUGGGACAUCAAAAGUCUUCUUUUCCAGUCCCUUUUUAGUGUCCCCGCCCCUGCAAAAUGUCCCCCACUCUUUCAAGCAUUUCCCUGUGAAAUCAAAAUCAGUAGGUGGUCCUGGGUUCUCACAACUCUCCUGAGAUCACAGAACCCUGUCCAGCUCCACCGCAAAAAAAAAUAAAAUUAAUUUUAAAAAAAAAGGAAGGGUGGAGGUAGGAGGCAAGGAACCCUAGGAAAGAAUGAAUUACUACAAAAAUCUUUAUUGCUUUUUCCCUCCCCCCAGAUUCCCCUUUGCAGAUAGAAAAGAGUCUCACGUUAUCACGUGUUCAGAAUGUAAGAAGAUGUAAAGGAUUGGAUUCUUUAGUUGAUGUUGCCUCUUUCACUCUUCCGUAGCAUCUCUUAGGUACAUACAAUGAAUCUCAGCGAAGGGAAUCUUUAGCUAGCAUUUUCCUGCAAGGGCUUUUGAUGGGGGAAAUCCUUUACAAUGACAAUUUAGAUAUCCUGUCGGUUAGAUAGAGCACCUUCCCCGUGGGCAUUGCUGUGCUUGGCUGCGUAGGACCCCAAGGACAUCCCGCAGACCUGUUUACCACGUGGGUAGCCUCGGCACCUCCGCGGCCCCUGCCAGGCUCACAGAGGAAGCAGCUUGAGGUUGCAAUAGAAGUAGGAAGAGCUUCUCCGUGGGACCUGACCGCACCUCUGCAGUGUGAUCACACCUCUGGGGGGUGCUAGGCUUCUCUGCCCUGGUCCACACCUCGGCUGAGAUGAGAAGCUCAAGCCUGGUCCUGAUUCCCCGGCUGUACUUGCGCCUUUCCUUCCAUCCCAGCCCAUGUCCACCUUCUUUCAUGUUCCAUCGCUUCCCAUUUUCCGAGGAACAGCUUGCUUUUCACGAAGGAAAGGGUCAGGGUCAGGCCGGAAUGAAAGUUCGCAGUACUCAAUUUUUCUCUUCCGUGUGUCUUUCCACCUUACGUUCUGAGUUUCUUUCUUAUGUCCUGGCUUCCCAGUUUUCCUCAUGCCCACGGCAGGGAUGGCUGCUCCCAUUCUCACUGCCCUGUGCUACCCUUUCCUCCUCAGCUGUCCCACCACAAAAUAACUCCUUUUCUCCCACCCCACCUUGGCCCCCAUUGGGGGUCAUCUGGCCACGUGUUCAGAAGGAAAACAGUUUCAGUAAAUUGAUUGCACAGUUGACAAUCAGAAAAGGAACCUUGCUGAUUUAAAUGAAUGGGUGGAUUAGAUCAUUAGGGGACUGAGUCUUGUAUUGUUCUGGCUUAGAAGAGGUGACCCGUGAAUGUUGAGAUUUGCACUUUCCUAUCUUGUAGCCACUAGCUCCAUCUGCCUGUUUCCAUUCAUUUCAUUAGAAAUUUCAUUUCUCGUUUGCACUAGCCACAUUUCACGUGCUCAUUAACCAUGCUGACUAGUGCCAUCAUUGCCAAGAUUGUACUGGAUGGCACUGCUCUGCAUCAUUGCUGCUCAGCGUGUGGUCCACGGAGCUGCAGCAUCUGUAUCACCUUGGAACUUAGACACAUGCAGACUCCCCCGCUGACCUCCUGAGUCAAAAUCUUCCUUUUCAUAAGCUUCGUCAAGUGAUUAGCACUGGCCUAGAUGCAUUUUAUCUGUCCUAGGUAGGGAGGGAUCAAAAGUCUUCAGGCAUCCUCAAAAUCGCCUAUUCCCCAGCCCACUGUUUCCUGUCCCUUCUCCAGCUCAUCCUAGAAAUGACCUGAAACUCAUGCAUCACCCAGCUGAGUUUUCUUCUCAGCCCUUAUCCCUAAUUCGGGUUCUAGAUGGGCUCCACCUACCCAGGAUAUAUAUUGGUUCUAUUUAGGUAGGGAAGGCGUGGAACGCAGGAAAUUGGCCACCACGGCUGGCCUCUCUCCAGCCCCCCCUACACACCUAAGUCACUUACAGUCUGCAUCUGCUCAGUUUGUGGCUCGUGUGACAUUCUCAUUUGUCCACAACUUAAGUCACAGGGAACAUUUCGGAAGAAUGUGUCCUGAGUUAGGUAAAGACCGGGUCAGUUGCCAACAACUUGCACUUUUCACUUCCUCUUAUCAGUUGAUUAUUCUAUUGGCCUAGUUUAUGCUUGAGGACACAGAGCAGCACACAAACAUUAAAUGAAUCAUUAGGCAUGAAAAAAAAUGAGAGAGAAAGAGACUCAAAAUGAUUACAAAUAAAGCAAAUGUUUCAUUAAAGCCCCCAAAGAAGGCAUGUUUUAAUCAACUAAAAUCUCACUUUUUAUUAUGCUAACUUAGCCUGAUUUUCAGAUAGUUAAUAAUUCCUUAAGAUAGUGCUUGAAAAAUAAUGUAUUCUUGACUCUCAAAACACCAAUUAUUUAAUUCCAUAAUUAGAGCUUUCCCAAUGACAUAUGCUCAAUAAUCCUUUCUUUAAUUUUCACAUAGCGAUAGAAUUUACCAACACAUUACUGCCUAGAGGUUCGUGAGCCAAUUUUAAUGAAUAAAAAGGCCAGUACUUUAGUCUCCCCAGAAGUUAUGUUUAACAGGAAUUGAAGAAGGAAAUAUUCAUGCAAAGCUAUGACUUAGAAAAUUAGAAUAAAAACCUCUCUAAUCAUUUCUAGAGUGAAUUAUCCAACGGGGCUGACAACGCCGUGGACUUUUAUGUUGUACAGAUGUGAAUUCUUCAAUGAUAGCUCUUUUCAUUAAGCUGUAAAAACAUGACAUCUCUCAACCUCGAGAUCUAGGAUCUCUCCUGCUCCCUCUUCUGAAAUGAGCUUAUCUUACAUUUUUCAGAUGCAAGUUGGAUAAAACAGGGGGGUUGGAGAUUAAUGAUGUAAGUGGCAGUUCUUUAAAUCAGCUGAAAAGCGUGAGGAAUGAAGAGUCCUCAAUACUAACUAUUGGUCAAAGCUUCCCAAGUGGUUUUAAGUUUGGCUGCUUUUCCUCUCACUGCCCCAUGCCAAGUGCCACGGGGCUGGGACCUAUCUGUGCUAUGGCACCUCCCCAGUGUCUUGUACAGCAGUCUCUGUGUCCGAUGGGUCAAGUAUUGCCUUUGCAAUAGGAUGCUUUCCUAAAGAAACAGUCAAGGAGUUCCCACCGUGGCUCAGUGGUUAACGAAUCCAACUAGGAACCAUGAGGUUGCAGGUUCGAUCCCUCACCUCGCUCAGUGGGUUAAGGCUCCGGCAUUGCCGUGAGUUGUGGUGUAGGUCACAGACUCGGCUUGGAUCCAGUGUUGCUGUGGCUGUGGUGUAGGCCGGCAGCUACAGCUCCGAUUGGACUCCUAGCCUGGGAACCUCCAUAUGCCACAGGUGUGGCCCUAGAAAAAGACCAAAAAAGACAAAAAGAAAAAGAAACAGUCAAAACUUUGAAGAGACAGUUGUUACUGGUUUUUAUCAUAUGCAAAGCAUUUAUUGUUUUUUCUUUAUUUCUCCAAGUUUUGUUGAGAGGCAUUUCUGUUAGAAUAAAAAGUUAUACCGGUUUAUCAUUAUAGAGAACAGAGAGAUAAAAGACAGCUGGACUGUAUCUAUUUGUAUACUUCUUUCUGUUAUUUCAGGAAAAGAAGUUUCACAGAGUAACCCAGGCUGCAUUAAACUCAGUCAUGAUGUUUAAGAAAAACCCUGUAUUACUAAUAUAGGUGAACGACUUAAUUCCUUUUAUGUAAUUAAGAUCCUAUUUACAUAUAUUUAUAUCCUCUCUCUUCGUUUUUUAUGCACUUCCAAGUUUUGUUGGAAAAAUAGAAACCAAGCUAUUACUUAAAAGUUAGAAAAACACAUACAGUGUUUCAUUGUAGCUACAAGUUAUUCAUUGUAUAGGGAUUUGGAUAUUUCAUAGAACUGCAUUUCAGGAGUAAAUUAACCAAAUUUAAAGAAGUGUAGGAUGACUCUUUAAAUGGAUUAAAAUACAUUUCAUGUUCAGUUGAUAAGGUCAUUGAAGUGGGAUAAUGCAGUUAGAUAGACAAGCUAAAAAGGAAAACGAAUAUAUUUUGUGAUCCUUACUGUUUCAUUGCACUAUUCUUUACUGCAGCUUAGCCAUAUAUAUUUCUAUAUUCUGAGUAUUAAGCUGAUAUGUAGCUAAAGAUUUCCUACAGUUCUGGUAACUGGUAACUAGUGCUGUGGAAGGUUUUGGUGUUGUAACAUUCCCCAUGUUGUGAGUUAUAUAUUGUAUAUGAAAGAUGACUAAUAAAUUGGAGUAAUAUAUUUAUCUAGAGCUGGGAAAAUAUGCUAAUUAUUUUCAAAUCUUCAAGUAAGAUGUAUUGAAUUUUUUCUUCCUCUUAAGUGAGAUGAAAGUCUCCCUUUUAGGUUAAAAUGGCUAUUUAUACAACAGGUGUCUCCUUUUACUGGUUUUAUUAAUGUUCGUAUUAAAAUGUUUCUUAUCUUUUUAUACCAAAACCCCGAUCAUGCUGGUGACGCAAACUGCCACGAUGUAGUUUAGUUUGCAGGACUUUUGGCAGGCAAAAUAUUUAAUAACAAACCAGCUUUGUAUAUUUUAUGGCUUGGGGGGCAAGAAUUUUACCUUUGAAUCUCUAUAUGAGGCAGUGCUCUUAUCAGCAAAGUCAGUAAAAGACAGUGUUACUUACAAUCAUCAGUAGAAGGUUUUUACAAGUUGUAUAAAUCAGUGCAUUUAUUUAUUAUGUCGUGAAAUUUAACCUUUCUACAAAAUGCAUAUUCUAGCUCUUUUUUUUGUUACUGCUGUUGCUUUGAGUGUAAUAGCUCUGUUCAUGAUUCUGCUUGUGUACUUGAAGUACUCAUUUCUGUCAAACAGAUGCCCAGUUUUUUUCCAUGUAAAAAAAUGGUAUUCUUUACUGUCAGAGGUAACUGCAAAGUAAUAGUUUAUUAGGACUUUGUUAAAACAUAAUUUUCAUGGUUAAAAUAAAUACCGAAAAAAGGCAUACUAGCCAAAUUGAAAUAACCCAUCUUGAGAAUUUAAUGUAGUCAGGGAAGUCAUGCCAUAUUUUGCCAAUGUAUGUUUUAUCUUCAAGUCAGAACUUCUUUUCUGUGAUAAAUUUUCAAUUUUUGUUGUAAAAGAGAUCUCCGUGAUUUUACUGCCAAUAUGACCUUCAAAUCAACAUUAAGAAUUUUGAGGGAGUUCCCCCGUAACCUAGCAGUUCAGGAUGCGGGGUCAUCACUGCUAUGGCUCAUGUUCAGCCCCUGACCUGGGAACUUCUGCAAGCCUCAGGCAUGGCUAAAAAGAAAAAAAAAAAAUCUCAAACCCUCCAGAUUUCACAUACCUCUAGCUCUAGGUUGUUUCCAGGUGUAUAUUUUUCACAUUUGACUCUGGGAUGCUCGCUUCAGCGUGCGCAGGAGGGAUGGUGGUUUAUCUGCUUUGUUUCUCCAUUAAUUCAAUAGGAUUGUAAUUGGGUUUGGAAAUAUUUCUGUUUUAAACUCUUCUCUAGUCAACUUUUUAACAACUGAACAUUGAAAACAUGAUAGCCCAACAUACCACACAGAAUAAAGUCAUAUGCUUUCAAGGAAGACAAAUAACUGUUCUGACUUACCAUCGGGUACCAAAGAAAUCACUUUAACCAGCCCUACAUUCAACCAUAUUAUUGUUGUUCAGUGUAAGCAGUAGAUGAAUUCUAAACCGCUUAAGAACUGUAGUCAAUUAAGAAUUAAUUCCCUGUGAUUGUAAAGACAUAGGUUUUGGGAGUUCUCUGAUGGCCUAGCAGGUUGAGGCUCCUGUGUUCUCACUGCUGUGGCUCUGAUUGCUGCUGUGCAGCGUAGGUUCAGUCCCUGGCCCAGGAAUUCCCACAGACUGCCUGUGUG
rnacentral:lncRNA from 1 species